GACGAACGCUGGCGGCGUGCUUAACACAUGCAAGUCGAACGGAAAGGCACUGCUUUUGUGGGGUGCUCGAGUGGCGAACGGGUGAGUAACACGUGAGUAACCUGCUCUUGACUUUGGGAUAACUUCAGGAAACUGGGGCUAAUACCGGAUAGGAGCUCCUGCUGCAUGGUGGGGGUUGGAAAGUUUCGGCGGUUGGGGAUGGACGCGCGGCUUAUCAGCUUGUUGGUGGGGUAGUGGCUUACCAAGGCUUUGACGGGUAGCCGGCCUGAGAGGGUGACCGGCCACAUUGGGACUGAGAUACGGCCCAGACUCCUACGGGAGGCAGCAGUGGGGAAUAUUGCACAAUGGGCGGAAGCCUGAUGCAGCAACGCCGCGUGCGGGAUGACGGCCUUCGGGUUGUAAACCGCUUUCGCCUGUGACGAAGCGUGAGUGACGGUAAUGGGUAAAGAAGCACCGGCUAACUACGUG
rnacentral:rRNA from 1 species